UUGAAAAGUUAGGGGAUGACUUGUGGCUGGGGGUGAAAGGCCAAUCAAACCGGGAGAUAGCUGGUUCUCCCCGAAAUCUAUUUAGGUAGAGCCUCGGACGAAUUCCAUUGGGGGUAGAGCACUGUUAAGGCUAGGGGGUCAUCCCGACUUACCAACCCUUUGCAAACUCCGAAUACCAAUGAGAACUAUCCGGGAGACACACGGCGGGUGCUAACGUCCGUCGUGAAAAGGGAAACAACCCAGACCGCCAAUUAAGGCCCCUAAGUAAUAGCUAAGUGCGAAACGAUGUGGAGGUGCUGAGACAAUCAGGAGGUUGGCUUAGAAGCAGCCAUCCUUUAAAGAAAGCGUAAUAGCU
rnacentral:rRNA from 1 species